CCUACGGGUGGCAGCAGUGAGGAAUAUUGGUCAAUGGACGAGAGUCUGAACCAGCCAAGUAGCGUGAAGGAUGACUGCCCUAUGGGUUGUAAACUUCUUUUAUAAAGGAAUAAAACGAGGCACGUGUGCCUUUUUGCAUGUACUUUAUGAAUAAGGAUCGGCUAACUCGUUGCCAGAAGCCGCGGUAAUCCGGAGGAUCCGAGCUUUAUCCGGAUUUAUUGGGUUUAAAGGGAGCGUAGAUGGGUUGUUAAGUCAGUUGUGAAAGUUUGCGGCUCAACCGUAAAAUUGCAAUUGAUACUGGCAUUCUUGAGUACAGUUGAGGUAGGCGGAAUGCGUGGUGUAGCGGUGAAAUGCUUAGAUAUCACGAAGAACCCCGAUUGCGAAGGCAGCUUACGAAACUGUGACUGACAUUGAUGCUCGAAAGUGUGGGUAUCAAACAGGAUUAGAUACCCGUGUAGUC
rnacentral:rRNA from 1 species